GUGCCGGCUGCAACGGCACAUAUACUAAAAUUGGACCGAUACAGAGAAGAUUAGCAUGGCCCCUGGCCAAGGCUGACACGCAAAUUCGUGAAACCUUCCAUAUUAAA